GAUGAACGCUGGCGGCGUGCCUAAUACAUGCAAGUCGAGCGAAUGGAUUAAGAGCUUGCUCUUAUGAAGUUAGCGGCGGACGGGUGAGUAACACGUGGGUAACCUGCCCAUAAGACUGGGAUAACUCCGGGAAACCGGGGCUAAUACCGGAUAACAUUUUGAACCGCAUGGUUCGAAAUUGAAAGGCGGCUUCGGCUGUCACUUAUGGAUGGACCCGCGUCGCAUUAGCUAGUUGGUGAGGUAACGGCUCACCAAGGCAACGAUGCGUAGCCGACCUGAGAGGGUGAUCGGCCACACUGGGCCUGAGACACGGCCCAGACUCCUACGGGAGGUAGCAGUAGGGAAUCUUCCGCAAUGGACGAAAGUCUGACGGAGCAACGCCGCGUGAGUGAUGAAGGUUUUCGGGUCGUAAAACUCUGUUGUUAGGGAAGAACAAGUGCUAGUUGAAUAAGCUGGCACCUUGACGGUACCUAACCAGAAAGCCACGGCUAACUACGUGCCAGCAGCCGCGGUAA
rnacentral:rRNA from 1 species